rnacentral:lncRNA from 1 species
AAGUACCAUGUUAAAUGGAUCUUGGGGUAUCUUCCUUAGUUCUGACACUAUAAUAACCUUUAAUAAAAAUAAUAUUAAGAAUAUCAUUUUUGGUCUCUGGCCACCUGUUCUUCAUCUUAAAGUCUUAAAACACUAUGAGUUGAGGAGGGGACUCUUAUUGGGAAAACAUUUGUUCUUACAUAUUUUUCACUUCCUUCUGGAGAUUAUUCCAUCCUCCACAUUGAAAGGAAACACUUGUAUAGCCUGAAGUGUCUUUUAAGGUGUAUACUGUGUUCAUUAAUGACUCGUUGGUAAUAAACUUUAUGCCAUACUAUAAGAGAGCUCAAUUCUAGUAUCUACUAGAUGUUAUAAUUAUUACUGCAUAUAGAUUAUUUUAAGAAGUAUAUGAAGUAUUUCAAGUGAAAAAAGCAAGUUGCAAAGGAGUCAUUAUUUUAUGCUAUCAUUUGUAUUUUAUAAAAUGCUAAGUAUGUACUUUUAUUUACAGAGUGUUUUUACAAAUGAAACUGGUAACAGGGAGAGGAAAACUGGGGCACUGGAGAUUCUGUUUUGGAAGGAGACUUACCAUUUGCUGCAUACAUUUUUGUGCAAUUUUGGUGAAAAGUGGCAUAUCAAUUUUAAGAAAAUAUUAGUGCAUAUAGUUAAUACUCCUAUAAAAAGAUGGAUUGGAGUAGAAUAUUCUCCAAGAUUCCUUUCACUCUAAAAGUCUAGAAUUCUAAGCUUAUUUGUGUGCUCAGAUAGCCAGUCUAUAUCCAAGGAGAGCAAAACCAGUCCCUGCUAUUGAGGGAUUUAUAGUCUCAAAGGGUUGGGCACUGGUACAUACAUGCCAUGGAGGAUAUGAGAAAUAUGUUGCCAUUUAUAGAAAAGCCUGGCUCUCUUUUGCAGAUCAAGUUGUUCUAGACAGUCUUGUAAAAAUAACUUAGCUAUGUUAACCCACAAAAAUUGAAGAAUUAUUUGAGAUGGAAGUUCAUCUAAAAGUUACUAUAUUCUUCCCUACUUCACCAGGAUAUGAUAUGAAUGCAAUACAAUACUAUUGGUAUGAACUGUCCUUAUUUAUAAGAUUAGGAACUUGUUAUAGUAGUAUCAUUAAAGUCUUUUGAGGGGCAUAGAUAGGGCUGUUGCUCUUAAGUUUAGUGACAUCACUCCUAAAUUUAGUGAUGUACUUUUUCAUAGUGGUGUUUUUCUGGAUUCCUCUGUAGAUCUCAUUAUUGACACCUCUCAAAACCCUGACCUGAGGAAGAAACACUUUGCUCCAUUUCAAAUUCACUAGCCUAAUAUAUUAGACUUAGAGAACAGCUAGUAGUAAUUUUUAGGACAUUAUGCAAAGUAUAAAUAGGACCCGAGUUUGCACCACACCUUUAAAUAGCACCCAUCUAUCUUACGGAUGGACUUCGUGAAAUCCACUUCCGUUGCUUAGAGUUCUUAUUUUUAUUAGUUCCUCAUUCUUAUCUGUGUUCCUUAUAGGCGUGAUUUUCUAGUAGCUUAGGACAUGGCAUAGAAAUAAAGGAUGUUCAAGAAUGGCAAGAAAUGAAGGGAAGAACUCCAUGGGAAAUGUUAAAACUGAAAAGGCCAAAUUUUACAAUAACAUGUAAAUAACUAGUCACAGGAUUCUGUCAAGAAAUUUCCAAAUGUGGAAUUCCUGUUGUGUGUGGCUCAGUGGGUUAAGAACCCGACGAGUAUCCAUGAUGACGCAGGUUCGAUUCUUGGCCUUGCUCAGUAGGUUAAGGAUCCAGUGUUGCUGCAGCUCAGAUCCAGCAUUGCUACGGCUGCACUGUAGGCUGGCAACUACAGCUCUGAUUCAACCCCUGGCCCAGGAACUUCUGUAUGCUGCAGGUGCAGCCCUAAAAGGAAAAAAAAUUCCAAAUCAAUUGUUAGAGUAUAUAUUGAACAUCAGUUAUUUCGUUCUUCUUGUUCAGGGAAAUAUAGAGACUGGAAAGAACACAAUUUUGUCCACAUACCAUAAACUG